UGGUUUGGCUUAGUGGAUAGAGCAUCAGCCUGCGGACUGAAAGGUCCCGGUUCGAUUCCGGUCAAGCCAC
rnacentral:tRNA from 1 species